ACACCUGUGAAGCGCAGAUUACCCCGACUAACGACCGCCCUCCGCUGCCUCUGCUUCCCCCUCUCGCGCCCGCUUCACGCACGAAAAACGCGAGCUGUCCCAGGUGCUCCUCCAAGUUUGCCUUGAGCCUGGGCUGUGAACUGGCACCGCAGGGACACGCCGCAGUUGAGAACGUGCCCGUUUUCUUUCUGGAAGUCUCGGUUGGGAGGAGUCAGAGGAGAAAGAAAAGUCUGUUGUAAAUCCAACUUAGAGACACUUACCUUGGGAGGACAGAGCGUUCUGGGGCUCUAGAAAACAAGUAGUUUACGUGAGUUUACUAGGUGUGGGAGAGUGACCCAUAAUCUCAGACACCUUUCUCAGAGUAAACGCUAGGGGUGUGGGGACAAGUGCCAGACCCUUUGCUGCCUUAUUAUGCACAGCAGAGCUUACUUCUUGCUGGAAAGAGACUUCCAAGAGUUGAAGGAGAACAAUUUUAAGGGUAUUACUGCCUUUCCUGUAAGUGAAGAUCUAAUGGAAUGGGGAGCCGAUAUUGAAGGUCUACAAAAUACAUUUUGGCAUGGAUUAUUCUUCCAACUGAAAAUAAACUUUAUAUCACAAUACAAUUUUGUCCCUCCAGUUGUGAAAUUCCUGACAAUUCCUUUUCAUCCAAAUGUAGACCAAAAUACUGGUCGGGCUUGUAUAGAUAUUUUGGAUGACCCUGAUAAGUGGAAUACAAGCUAUACCUUGAGCAGCAUCUUACUUACCCUCCAGGUUAUGCUUUCUAAUCCAGUGCUAGAAAAUCCAGUGAAUUUGGAAGCAGCCCAAAUGCUGAUUAAAGAUGAAUCUCUGUACAAACAAGAAGUUCUAAGACUUUUCAACCAACCAACACAAUUGAGAAAUAACAGCCCUGAGUUUCCUAAAGAUCAAGAUAAACUUAUCAGAUCAACUAAAGCAAUCUCAUUUAAUGAUUACUACAAGACAUGGUCCGGAAUAGCAACAUCAAAAGCCACAGAAUACUACAGAAGUCCAUGUAAGUGCUUGAAGAUCCAAAUUUUGUUGUAGAGUAUUAUAAAUGGAAGAAAGCUGAAUUACAGCAUCCUAAAGAAUGGAAUUUAAAGUACGCUGCUACCAUGGCUCGGCUGGCUAGAGAAAGUAGAAGGCCUUCCAAAGUCAAUUAUCCAACUGAAAGAUUUCAUCGCUGCCCAACUCCAAUUCAAAAUUUUGCUGACUCACAGACUGAAAUGGAUAUUGUCAUGAAAAAGGAGAGGUGGAGGAGUGUAGCUUUACCAGAUGAUGAUAAUGCGAAUGAGUCGUGGGAAGAAGAAGCAGAAGACCUGGUCGCCUGGACCAACACUCUUGAUAUAGACGUUUUAGAAGAUUCAGCCUGAUGCUCCAGGAUUUAAAACCACAGCUCGGCUUCAUGAGGCAACUUUGGAACUUGGAUUCCAUUUUUUUUUUUUUGAAGUUGGCCUCAUGCUCUCAUGUCAAGUACACAUUAGAAAUAUAAGUACAA